rnacentral:tRNA from 1 species
UCUUCUUUAGUAUAAAAUAGUACAAUUGCCUUCCAAGCAAGGGGUUUAAUUAUUAAAAGGGGCA